rnacentral:lncRNA from 1 species
UCCCUGGAUGAGUGGGUUCCCAGGUCUGCAGUGAGAAGGGGAGAGGCCAGGGCAGUGGCGAGCAGGAGAGAAGGCAGCUGAGGGUGGGAGGCCUACCGGGCCCUGAACGGAGAGUGCGUGCUGCCCAGCUUCAUGAAGAGCCGGUGCUGCAGGUCCAGAGGUGCCUCUUUAAAGAAAGAUGCCGGCUUGUCGUAGACGGUCACAGCCCUGCAAUGAAAUCAUGGCAGGGCUAUUGCAUUAGUCCAGCAUGGAGGCUACUUUCUGCUCAAACCACUCAUUUGGGUUCCAUGCCCAACGUCACCCAUCCUCAGCAAAACAACCUUUAUUUCCUUCUUCCUGGUUUCCAGAAAUUUCCCCUAAAGACCUGAGGAAUCACCGAAUGAAAGGGGCUUUUUACAAACUGGAAACUUAAGUGGAGUGCCAAUACACAACAUGGAUUGCACCAGGCUAGGUCUAAGAUAAAACCAGACUGUGGACAACAGGACAGAUAAGACACACAUGGCUCUGCACUGCCUGGGUCUGUUAUUGUGUGGAGGAAUGUCUUAGUCUGUUGCUCCUGUGGGUGUCGCUAAAGCACGAACCAGGGGUCUUCAUCCUUAGAAAGCAGUUAGACACCUGAGAACCAAUCCCAAACUGCAGCCUUCCACAGAACCUUCUGGAACCUUCUGGAAUGCAACUCAUUACUGCCAGAGGCUCUUUGAUGAGAGUCUACUCUCCACCAUUUGUCUUCAAAGAGAAUACCCACAUAUUAUCUUUCUGUGGAAAGGUAAGUUAUUAGCGUUUAUGCAGUCUGGUAUAUUAAUCGAGAGCUUUACUUCAAAGAAUGUCACGUUUACGAUUCAGUCUCACAGACUGGGUUAAAAAGGCAGUGUUGACUAUUAAGUUGUAAAUUACUAUGAUGAUCAUUAUUAUUUAAGCAAGCUGUGAGAAAUGAGCAUUAUCUCACAAUAUCUGCAUUUUAGUGAACCUGAAGGAAGAGUGUAUUUGCUGGAAUUACAGAAGCCUGAGAACCACAGGGGAAUUCUCACUGCAGGGUAUUCAGGGUCCAAAGCUGAUUCUAUUUUGCAUGCUAAAUCCUUCCUCAAUUUAUUUUUAUUUCUUUCUUUAUUUAUUGAGACAGGGUCUCCCUCUGUCGCCCAGGCUGGAGCGCCUUGGUGCAAUCUCAGCUCACUGCGACCUUGCCUCCCGGGUUCAAGUGAUUCUCCUGCCUCAGCCUCCGGAGUAGCUGGGAUUUCAGGCACCCACCACAAAGCCCAGCUAAUUUUUGUAUUUUUAGUAGAGACGGGAUUUCACCAUGUUGGCCAGGAUGGUCUCAAUCUCC